rnacentral:lncRNA from 1 species
AAAUUAAACAAAAUUAAAAUGUAAAAAAAUCAAUAAGGGCUUUAAUGGUGCUGACACUGCAUUAUUGGAUGUAGCUUGCAUGUACGUUUUGGAGUCAAUCACAUAAAAAUAUAUAUGCACACAAUUCCUGAAGAUGUAUUUAUUUAUACAUGUAAAUAUCUAAACGUGUAAAGAUUUUCUGAACAGUGAAAUCCAUGAUGCUCUGAAUGGAGAUAAGGCAAGUACUCUUUCUAGUGUUCUGUAUCUCUUAUAAAAGAGGAAAUGUCUGUCUUUAAAUUGUCAUUUUGUUUUUUCUUUUUUAAGCUAUACAUGCAGAAUCUGUUGUGGGCCUAAGCAUUGUUUCAAAUAUCUGCUAGCUUGGUUGUAGCGCUCUAAAUUGUCUUCCUAUCAAAUAGUUGGAGCAUAAAUCAAAAAAGAUAUAGAUAUAGAUAUAAAUAGAUAUAUAGUUGAUAUAAAACAAAAGGGGGGGAAAUGUGUUUUUCAAGGCCUUAGUUCAGGGCCAAUAAUCAACCCCCACCGACCACCCAAAAAAAGUGCCUGCAAUUAUGUAACAGAAACAGUCAAAGACAAACAGCACUGAAAAACAAAAAGCUCUCAGAAAACAUAUUAGUUUAUACAUUUACUUCCUCUUUCUUCAAUCCCUUCUCGGAAUGAGUGGGUUGUUUUAAAGAAUUUGCAUGUAAAGAGUGCACCACCAAGAAACAUCAGCGAUGACUAAAAAGCAGAGCGGAAACAGAUGCAGCUGACUAACUAGCUGCCAACACAAACACUGUCACAAGCUUGCAUGGAUGCAUCCGUCACUACCGCGCUUCCUAGAAAUAGAUGGAAAAGGUCAGAUGCCUUUGUUCCCCAAAGGAGUGAGAUCUGUGGCUGGCGGUGAGAUCCACUGCUGACAGGACUGCACCCACAGGGUUUCUAGCCACAGUCCGCCCCCAAGUUUAUCAAGGUCUGAUGCUGUAAACGGAACUGAGGGUACAUGAACUACUCAUAAAAGACUGGAGUUAAGGUACCAUCGGUGCUUGAAAUACUAUCAAUUCUAAUUAUAUCAAAUUGCUACUGUC